UGCGGCUGGAUCCCCUCCUUUCUAGAGAAUCGCCUGAAGCGCGAGCGUCCACACCUAUCGGCUGUCGUUGAGUAAGCAAGCCGAACGGGUCUGUAGCUCAGUUGGUUAGAGCACCGUCUUGAUAAGGCGGGGGUCGUUGGUUCAACUCCAACCAGACCCACCAUACAAGAUCAAAACCUACGGGAAGACGGAGUUCAGAAGAGAGAAUGCAGUGCGGGUGUUUUCGUAGGCGGGGCCAUAGCUCAGCUGGGAGAGCGCCUGCUUUGCAAGCAGGAGGUCACCGGUUCGAUCCCGGUUGGCUCCACCAGGAUCUCGAGAAUGUGGUGCGCAAAUGCAGCGCGAAGCGUAGACGCUUCGCAGUGCAUUUGUAUUUCGGCUGCUCUUUAAAAAUUUGGAAGAAACAAGGCGAGUCCGGCACUCUUCAAAGGCCGGGCUCACUGGGUAAGAGAUUGCAUUAGAAGUAUUUGUAUCGAGUACGCGGCUUAGUCGGCCGUGUGCUCACCAAGCGCAAAGAGAACCUGUAGCGUCGCGCCGUGCAGGAGUAGUAACCAGAGCGGUGCGUACCGUUAUAGGGUCAAGUGAACAAGUGCAUGUGGUGGAUGCCUUGGCGACAACAGGCGAUGAAGGACGUUGCAGCCUGCGAUAAGCUUCGGGGAGCUGGCAAGCGAGCUUUGAUCCGAAGAUUUCCGAAUGGGGAAACCCGGAAGGGGC
rnacentral:misc_RNA from 1 species